UUCAACGGCCGCGGUAUUCUAACCGUGCAAAGGUAGCGUAAUCACUUGUUCUUUAAAUGAGGACUAGUAUGAAUGGCACCACGAGGAUUAUACUGUCUCCUCUCUCUAAUCAGUGAAACUGAUCUUCCCGUGAAGAAGCGGGGAUUUAUUUAUAAGACGAGAAGACCCUAUGGAGCUUUAAACUUUUAACAAUUGCCCAAAUAAUUUUAAUUCCAGAAAAUAAACCUUAAUUUAGCACUUUGAUUUUUAAGUUUUCGGUUGGGGUGACCACGGAGCAAAACUUAACCUCCGCACUGAAAGGCCCUAGGCCUUAUUUAAGAACCACAAUUCCAUACACCAACAAUUUGACAUAAUUGACCCAAUACAUUGAUCAAUGAACCAAGUUACCCUAGGGAUAACAGCGCAAUCCACUUCAAGAGCCCCUAUCGACAAGUGGGUUUACGACCUCGAUGUUGGAUCAGGGUUCCCCAGUGGUGCAGCCGCUACUAAAGGUUCGUUUGUUCAACGAUUAAAACCCU
rnacentral:rRNA from 1 species